AACGGUCUAUACCUGCGGUACCUGCGGAAGGAUCAUUAAAAAAAGGGUCUUUUGACCCAUUUUUUAAAACUCACUACCAUUCUAGCCCAUCGGGUCAGAUGGAAGUGAGUUUUUUCAAACACCAAAAUUUUAAACUAUUCGUCUUUUGACGAAACCCAAAAUUAAUAAAAUAAAACUUUUAACAAUGGAUCUCU
rnacentral:misc_RNA from 1 species